rnacentral:precursor_RNA from 1 species
CCCAGGAGGUGGAGGUUGCAGUGAGCCGAGAUUGCACCACUGCACUCCAGCCUGGGUG